rnacentral:rRNA from 1 species
AGUGAACGCUGGCGGUAGGCCUAACACAUGCAAGUCGAACGGCAGCACAGUAAGAGCUUGCUCUUACGGGUGGCGAGUGGCGGACGGGUGAGGAAUACAUCGGAAUCUACUUUUUCGUGGGGGAUAACGUAGGGAAACUUACGCUAAUACCGCAUACGACCUACGGGUGAAAGCAGGGGAUCUUCGGACCUUGCGCGAUUGAAUGAGCCGAUGUCGGACUAGCUAGUUGGCGGGGUAAAGGCCCACCAAGGCGACGAUCCGUAGCUGGUCUGAGAGGAUGACCAGCCACACUGGAACUGAGACACGGUCCAGACUCCUACGGGAGGCAGCAGUGGGGAAUAUUGGACAAUGGGCGCAAGCCUGAUCCAGCCAUACCGCGUGGGUGAAGAAGGCCUUCGGGUUGUAAAGCCCUUUUGUUGGGAAAGAAAAGCAGCAGGUUAAUACCCCGCUGUUCUGACGGUACCCAAAGAAUAAGCACCGGCUAACUUCGUG